CGCGGCGGGGUGUCAUGGCGGCCGUUACCAUGGAGACGGCCGGCUGACCCGCGACCUGCUCCGCCGAGAUCGCUCCCUGCGCUGGGGAUAGAGGAUAGGGCCGGGGCCGGGGAGGGCGGGAUGGAUGUGCCCCAAAGUCGGGGGCAGUGACCGUCACGGGGCGCGGUUUGGUUGGGUUUGAGGCACGUGAACGCUGUGCUGCGUCCUUCUCACGCGUUCAGCGCUCGAGGUGGGAGAGAGCGGCACGGAGGAGCUGCCGGAAUAAAUAAUUGUACUAAAUAGCAGCUCGGUGGCAGCUUUCCUGAGGGGAUGGCUGAAACCAGCUCGGUUUUCGUCGCUUGUUUAUUUCUCGCUAGGCUGCCGUUGUGCCCGCCGCAGUCACGGGGCAGAUGAACAAGAAGGGAUGGGGCGAGGAGGAAACAAUCUGCAGAGCAGAGCAGAGACCGACCCGGGGGAGUCGGUGCUGGGUCCGCUCGCGUUCAACGUCUUCAUCGUUGACCUGGAGGAAGGAGGGAGCGCACCCGCAGCAGCAAGUUUGGGGAUGGCACGAGGCUGGGAGGAGUGGCUGACACCCCAUAGGGCCGUGCUGCAGUUCAGCGAGAGCUGGGCAGGCUGAGAGGUGUUGUGAGCGCUUUGGUCACCUUUUUAUUCACAGUCAGCAUCCUUCUGCUCGGCCAGCCAGGAGCAAUGCGUGCAAUCAGCUGCAAGAGACUUUUUGGUAAUAAGAUCAAAGGCCAAUUUUGUUGUGGGACAAAAAAUUAAAGCCAAAAAUCAUCCAGUGCUUUUUAUCCAGGUCAUUUUUUUUUAUUUUUUUUUUUAAAUAUAAUUUCAUCGUGCCUCUUUUGUGGCAAGGAUCAGCUGUCAGGUUGGUUUUCUGGACUUGUUGGCUUUGUUAGCUCGUCCUCCGUGUUGAGCAAGGCAGAAAAGGGUGUUAGGAUUUUCUAAGCAGGCGUGGCUUUCACGGGGGACUCCUGUGGAGAAUGCACCAACGCUUCUUAGGAUCACGGGAAGGAAAUGGCCUGAUCAAGACAGCCCUCGACAGUCUGAAGGAAACACAGUCUGAAGCACAGAGCUCGUGCUGCUAUGGGCACGUUGUUGAGAUACCGUAUGCCGAGAGCCUAUAAUAAAUGGUAACCGAUAUUUCUAACAGCA